rnacentral:snRNA from 1 species
AGCUUUGUGCAGAAGCAGUAUCACAGCCAAUGAGGUUUAUCCAAGGCAUGAUUAUUGCCAAUUGAAAACUUUUCCCAAUACCCCACCAUGACAACUUGCAAUACAGUCGCCACUGGCGAUUUUUGACAUUCCCUAUGAGGA